rnacentral:rRNA from 1 species
GUGAGGAAUAUUGGUCAAUGGGCGCAAGCCUGAACCAGCCAUGCCGCGUGCAGGAAGACGGUCCUAUGGAUUGUAAACUGCUUUUAUUUGGGAAUAAACUCCGGUACGUGUACCGGCCUGAAGGUACCAAAUGAAUAAGCACCGGCUAACUCCGUGCCAGCAGCCGCGGUAAUACGGAGGGUGCAAGCGUUAUCCGGAAUCAUUGGGUUUCAAGGGUCCGCAGGCGGUCUUAUAAGUCAGUGGUGAAAGCCUACAGCUCAACUGUAGAACUGCCAUUGAUACUGUAGGACUUGAAUUCGAUCGAAGUGGGCGGAAUGUGACAUGUAGCGGUGAAAUGCUUAGAUAUGUCACAGAACACCGAUAGCGAAGGCAGCUCACUAGGUCUGGAUUGACGCUCAGGGACGAAAGCGUGGGGAGCAAACAGGAUUAGAAACCCUUGUAGUCC